UCUGGGAUUAGGUCAGAUGUUUAAUUUAAAUGUUUUGUUUUCCCUCUCGAUCGCAGGCAGGAACUCGUGGAGCAACUUCAAGAGACAAGAGAGGAAAAGAAAAGGAUCCGUAAGAACCUGAAAGAGUUUGAGGACCAAUUCUUCAGACAAAAUGGAAGAACUGUCCAGAAGGAGGACCGCUCCCCGCUUGCAGACGAAUACCACGAAUACAAACACGUGAAGGCCAAACUGCGACUGCUGGAAGUUCUCAUCAGCAAGAGAGACUCAACUAAGCUCAUCUGAGUUGAUAUGGAUUUAAAAAAAACUGUAUCGAGACUGGUGCUCAGUUUCCUGUGAUGCAAACAUCUCUGUCUGUUGGACUAAACUGGGAACAAAUCGCUGCUCUGGGAACACAAAGUCACGUGUUUCUUCUCCAUCAGAACUUUGAAGCAAGAACUUUCUUCAGACGAAGCAGCACACGCACAAAUAAACCUAAAUCACUGAUAAUUUAUUUCUAUCAAUUUGAAAGUUUUAAGAGAAUUUAUUUCCUAUGUUAAACUGUAGAAAUUGUUAAAGUUAAAUUCUAAUAUUAUUUAGAAGAAAUUAGUCGUGAAAUUAUUUUUGAAGGAUUUGUGAUGAAGAUGUGUAUUUAUGCGUAUUUUUCUAAGGGAGAUGUUAUUGUUUGUAUCCGUUUUCAUCUAAAUGAGUAGCUUCUGUUAUUUCAGUUUUGGCCACCAUGUUCUAUCUGAAAUAAUCUUUUAGUUUUGCUUCUUUAGAAGUUUAAUAAUCAAGCACCUGCUCACUAAUCACUACAACCCACACAGGCUCUGAUCACAUCCAAUCAAAACUGCCCAUUUUUGUGACCACUUCAAGAGUUUUGUGGGAUUUUGUGUUUAUGCUUCUUACUUUAUGCCAGAUAAGCUGAUCUGUAAGUCACUGUUUGGUGUUUUCUGGUGACAGCAGAGCAGGCCGGGCCAGAACAUGGCCGCCCGUUUGUUUCUCUGUAAAUACGGAUCACAUGGUUUGUUUACGUUUCUGUGAGCGAGUACUUUUCUCCUUUCCUUCUCCAAAAUGGAUGAUUUCCUGCGUGAAUUUUGUUUUCACUUGGUGUAAACACUGGCCAGGCUUAACAAAUCCUGAGUGUGUACAUUUUAGUACAUAAAAUUGUAUUUUGUAUAUAAUAUGAAUUAAAUCAUAUUUUUAUGGAGA